AUGUUCGAAAUAUUUCGGUAUUUCCUGUUCGUCAACUACAAGCUACAACAACUCUUACGCUAUCAUACUUCCCAGUUUGAUUAUGAAACAAAGUUAAACGUGAGCUAUGUCAUGCCUUAGUGGGCUCGCAGAGGGGAGUAGGGUUUUUAAAUUGAAUUUUCUUGUUGCUGUGCGAAGAUUCCCGUUCUUUAAAUAAAAUGUCACGCUCGAAGUUGAUUUUUCGACAGCUUUUUGACGUUGAGUCGUCUACGUUAAGUUACAUUCUUGGUUGUUCAAACACCAGAAAAGCUAUAAUCAUUGACCCUGUCGAUACUAAGUCUUCCAGAGACUAUACUCUACUGAAGGAGCUUGAUCUAAAUCUCCAAUAUGCAGUCAACACCCAUGUUCAUGCUGACCACAUCACUGGAACUGGAUGGUUAAAGGCUCUCAUCCCCUCCUGUCGGAGCGUUCUUUCAAAGAUGUCAGGGGGGAAGGCUGACAUUUUCGUUGAUGAGGGUCACAUGAUUAAGUUUGGAGAACAUGCUUUAGAGUGCCGAUUGACUCCUGGUCAUACAAAUGGGUGUGCAACAUUUGUUGAUCUGACUAAUGAAAUGGCAUUUACUGGUGAUGCAUUAUUGAUUCGUGGUUGUGGAAGAACUGACUUUCAGCAAGGCAAUGCUUCUUCACUUUACGAAUCUGUUCAUGAAAAAAUAUUAUCGCUUCCUUCAAACUUUCUACUGUAUCCUGGACAUGACUAUCAAGGCUUUACUGUCACAACAGUCGAGGAAGAAAAGAACCACAAUCAACGAUUCACAAAAGAGAAAGCAGAAUUCAUUAAAUUCAUGAAAAACCUUAAACUGGAAUAUCCCAAGAAGAUUGAGACGGCCCUUCCAGCAAAUCUUGCUGACGGAGAAGAACAAGUGAACGAGGCUGUUGUUCAUCAAAUUCGCCAUGGAUGAUAAAACAAGGGAAUGAGUUGAAGACUCGUUAUGAUGUAUCGUACAAAUACAUCAAGAUGAAUUUAGGAACGUCUAUGUUUUUGUUAUAAACAGCACUACAGUAAACCAAUCAUCACAGUCGAGAAGUGUCUUUUACUAUAACAUAAACUGAACAUUUUCCGAUUGCAUGAAAUUUAUUCAAGCAAUUUGUAUGUCGUUUUGAUGUCCAAAAAACUAUCGUUGACCACGUAUCUUGUCGCCGAAAAUAAAAAAUAUAAAGCUCUCGGCA